UACCCGGCGGUGCUAGUCUUCCUUCGGGGAGGCGACACGCUAAACUUGCGGGAAGUCCCCUGUCUUUACAGGGUGCAUCCGCAGCCACCCACUGCGAGCAGUGGGCGGUUCAGAGACUCAAUGAGCGUGGAUUUCUUCGGAAGUUUGAGAUAGAGCCCGUCCUCGCUGGCAAUAGCGGGGGUUCAACGGAACCUGCGGAAGGAUCAUUAUAGAGUAAAACGGCCUUCGGGCCACUUAUUCUCACCCUUUGUUUACCACACUUAGUUGCCUUGGCGCCUAGCGCCAGUGGAUCAAAACCCUUGAAUCAUUGCUGUCUGAGUACUAUAAUAAUAGUUAAAACUUUCAACAACGGAUCUCUUGGUUCUGGCAUCGAUGAAGAACGCAGCGAAAUGCGAUAAGUAAUGUGAAUUGCAGAAUUCAGUGAAUCAUCGAAUCUUUGAACGCACAUUGCGCCCUCUGGUAUUCCGGGGGGCAUGCCUGUUCGAGCGUCAUUACAACCCUCAAGCUCAGCUUGGUAUUGGGCUCGCCCUGUAGGGCUUGCCUAAAAAUCAGUGGCGGCCGCCGUCCGACCUUCAGCGCAGUAAUACUCGUCGCUGAAAGGGAAGGCUGGUGACCCCGUCAUUACAACCCCCAAUUUUACAAGGUUGACCUCGGAUCAGGUAGGGAUACCCGCUGAACUUAAGCAUAUCAAUAAGCGGAGGAAAAGAAACCAACAGGGAUUGCCUCAGUAACGGCGAGUGAAGCGGCAACAGCUCAAAUUUGAAAGCUGGCUCCUUCGGGGCCCGCGUUGUAAUUUGUAGAGGAUGCUUCGGGUGCGGCUCCGGUCUAAGUUCUCUGGAACGAGACGUCAAAGAGGGUGAGAAUCCCGUAUGUGACCGGCUGCUUGUGCCCAUGUGAAGCU
rnacentral:sRNA from 1 species